UAUCUCUGUAGAGUCUGCAUAUCAAUAAGCGGAGGAAAAGAAACUAACAAGGAUUCCCUUAGUAACGGCGAGUGAAGCGGGAAGAGCUCAAAUUUGAAAUCUUCAAGGUUCUACCUUGACGAAUUGUAGUUUAAAGAAGUGUUUUCUGUUAGAUGAGUAGCAAAAGUUCCUUGGAAUGGGACAUCAUAGAGGGUGAGAAUCCCGUAUAUUGGUUAUUCAUUCUAGCUUUGUGAUACACUUUCAAAGAGUCGGAUUGUUUGGGAAUGCAGUCCAAGAUGGGUGGUAAAUUUCAUCUAAAGCUAAAUAUUGGCGAGAGACCGAUAGCGAACAAGUACCGUGAGGGAAAGAUGAAAAGAACUUUGAAAAGAGAGUUAAACAGUACGUGAAAUUGUCAAAAGGGAAGCGUUUGACACCAGUGUUGUUUUUCCGAAAAUCAAUUACGAAUGGCUUGAUUUUGUGUUGUAUUGACCUUAUCAGCUUUCUUCACUUUUUUCGAGUCUUUCUUAAUGCACUUUUCGGUUAACAAGUCAACAUCAAUUUCUUUUGUUGUAAAAGAGUAUUCGGAAGGUGGCUUUCUUUUCGGAGAAAGUGUUUAUAGCCCUAUACUUCUACAAUCGGAGAGAUUGAGGUCUGCAGCGUAGAUCCUUCGGGGUUAGAUACACUUGUGCUAAGUUGUAGCUUUUCAUAGACAACUUGUUGACUAUGUUUAGUCAUGCGGCUUACUCGCUUAUGCUAUUUUACCUACGCUUAGGAUGUUGACUGAUAUGUAGUCGUA
rnacentral:rRNA from 1 species